rnacentral:rRNA from 1 species
GACGAACGCUGGCGGCGUGCCUAAUACAUGCAAGUCGAACGCAGUUGGGACGGGUGAGUAACACGUGGGUAACCUCCCAUCAGAGGGGAUAACACUUGGAAACAGGCACUAAACCGAUACUGAUGGAUGGACCCGCGGGGCAUUAGCUAGUUGGUGAGGUAACGGCUCACCAAGGCGACGAUGCAUAGCCGAGCUGAGAGGGUGAUCGGCCACACGGGGACUGAGACACGACCCAGACUCCUACGGGAGGCAGCAGUAGGGAAUAUUGGGCAAUGGACGAAAGUCUGACCGAGCAACGCCGCGUGAGUGAAGAAGGUUUUCGGAUCGUAAAACUCUGUUGGUAGAGAAGCGGUAUCUAAACAGAAAGCAACGGCUAACUACGUGCCAGCAGCCGCGGUAAUUC